rnacentral:snoRNA from 1 species
UGAAGAUAAAAUGUCCUAGAGAAACAUAGUCACUCUCUGUGUAUCCUUUGCAAGUAAAAAGGCUGCAUCAUUCCACUGCUGACAUUU